GGCGCGGAGCCUCCGGGAGCCGGGCUGGAAAAGAAAGGGAGAUGAAAGAGACCUCAAAUCCCCGACACCCGACCAGGGCUGAGUCCCCUUCCUGCUCUUUGAAGCAGUGCUGCCAGAAAGGAGGGGACGCGAGCCGUGUUUCAGUGUAAACCGAAUCUCCCCGACCGUUUGCAGUCCCAUUUGUGUGAGAGCGAAUGUCCUCAAAACAACAACAGAACUUCGUAUGGCACUUGCAAUACAUUGAGAACAAUAUCUGGUAUCCGUGUUCUUUGUUAUAUCACCGAGGUACAUUCUGGAAUUACAGCACUCAAAUAAGAGGUUAGAUUCCAUUAACACUCCUGGAGGGUUGAUUCAGGGAAAUUGUAUUUGUUUGCUGAACUGUAAAUUAAACAGGUUCCAGGCUUCCACUCCUUCACAUCUGCAUCUCUGUAGCUGCGUAUGGAAUUUGUUCUCACUGGAUGCCAGUAAAGAACAUCCAAGGAGAACUCAAAUACAGAAAAACAACUUCCUGCUUCCUCCAGAAGUCCAGCUCUUGGAGCAAUGGGAUAAGCAGAAUAUAGACCCGGUGGACACGGUGGUGAGCCAUAUUCAACCAAACCAGAGAGGGUCACCAGCUAGAGAAUGGGGAGUGACAAGAGAGAAGACCUGGUUCCUGAUACCAUGGAUCCCAGAUCAGCCUUGGAUUGUUUGCAGUCAGACUGUUUGGAUGGGGGGCGGGGGGAGUGGUGAAUAAACAUCUAUCUUAUUUAAACCACUAUUAAUUUGGUAUCUGUUAAAGCUGCCACAUCAAUAUUCUCUUAUUAUUUUGCAUUGUGAAGUUUUUAUACA